UCCGGCGUAGCUCAGCGGUAGAGCAUCGGACUGUUAAUCCGCAGGUCGUUGGUUCGAUCCCAACCGCCGGAGCCA
rnacentral:tRNA from 1 species